rnacentral:rRNA from 1 species
UAAUACGUAGGGGGCGAGCGUUGUCCGGAAUCAUUGGGCGUAAAGAGCGCGUAGGCGGCCAGAUAAGUCUGGUGUGAAAGUCACAGGCUCAACCUGUGAAUGCCGCUGGAAACUGUCUGGCUUGAGUCCGGGAGGGGCGAGUGGAAUUCCUGGUGUAGCGGUGAAAUGCGCAGAUAUCAGGAGGAACACCAAUGGCGAAGGCAGCUCGCUGGAACGGUACUGACGCUGAGGCGCGAAAGCGUGGGGAGCAAACAGGAUUAGAUACCCUGGUAGUCCACGCUGUAAACGAUGGGCACUAGGUGUGGGAGGUGUCGACUCCUUCCGUGCCGUAGCUAACGCACUAAGUGCCCCGCCUGGGGAGUACGGCCGCAAGGCUA